GUCUCUAGGCUGGGCAUCACCUCUGGGCAUCUUUGGUCAUGCACCAGUUUUUCCUCCUGGCUUUCAUCUGGCAGACAGAUGGGGGAAAAAUAUCCACAAAUCCCAUCCACACCCAUCCUCCUGUUACAGAGGUGCUGACCUGUGAGAAUGGCCUGAGGGAAGGCAGAGAAAAGAACAAAACUUCCAGUGCAAGGACAGCUGGGGACUCGGACUGAAAGCUCUGGAGGAAGGAGGGAAAAGCAACUCAGAAGAGCCAGCGCCACCACCACCUGCCCUGCUGGCAUCUCACACCAUACUGCAAGCUGGGUUAUUCCCGGGUAUGUCGUGCCCCCCGGCACACCUUGGAGGUGGGAAUCUGCAGAGACCCAGGCACACGUGAGGGCUGGGCACUGGAACAUUCCAAACACCCUGCAACGGCUCGAUCCUGCCUGGGAUUGUAGAGGAACCCAGCACCCCUGGGUGCGUUGUGUCUGAAUUUCACCAUCGGUGCAGCCUUUGUUUUAGUGCCUGACAAAGAUACAGGGAGGGGAGCUUUAAAAACUGUUUUUCAGAUGCAGGUUGGAGGAUGAAAGCCCUCGCUGUGUUAUUCCCUGACUUGAUCCUCUCUUCAAUCCAGGGCAGCGUCGUCACUGGAUGCCUGCACCUCUGCGAGAGCACAGACCCAGGAAAUUUAUACUCUGCUUAAUUAAAUCUGUGCCUUUUACUUAUUGGCACCUCUUCCGAGAGCAGAAUUCCCUCCAAGUUGGUUAUCCAUCACGGCGACGGAUCCGACAGCCACAAUGGAAUCCCACACAAACCUGGUUAACUGGGUCACAGCCUGCUCCGUGUGUCUGCCAGGCUGCCACGCACGAGUUGGAGGCACGGGGCCAAACCCUCCCCUCGCCCUGGCAACCCCGCAGAGGGGUCAGCUCCCAGCAGCGGGUGACAAUUCCAGCACCAGUCCCACCCGAGUCCUGCAUCCUGUCCCUCCAUCCCCGUGGAUCAGCCAGGUUCUAUCAUCUCCUGGUUUUUGUGCAAAUCUGACCCCUCCAGGGAUGGAGACUCUUGUGCAAUCAAAGACAUCUCCCACCAAGUGUGGUUCCCCCCCCUCCAUAACCCUUUUUUCCCCCCCACCCCCGAAUAACCAAGCUGAAAUUUACAUUUCACUAAUUUCAGUAACACCCCACCAGCCAGCCCCGGGUGAGUGGAGGUGUGAGCUCAGAGACAGGGAUGCUCCCUCAGAAAGGGACACCCCAAUUCCUGCCACCCUCCUUGGGAAAAGGAGGAAGCAAUGGACCCUGUGUGAGAAAUGGGGGCGAGGCUGGGGAGGUGAGGGCAAUGAGGAGGGACAUGGCUGUGAGGGGACGUGACAGCUGAUUGAGGGGGACAUGGCUGUGAGGGCUGAGGUGGACACAGCCCCGAAAACUGAGGGGGGUCACGGCCAUGAGAGGGGGCAGGGGUUGCUGAGGGCGAUGUGGCUGUGAGGGGAGGCAAGGACUGACUGAGGGGGAGAUGUGGCUGCUGGUGGCAGGUGAAGACUGAGGGGAC